UUUGUUUUUUUUUAAUUUUCGAAAGAAAACUGUCAUCAAAUUGGACAAUAAAACCGUUCGGUCCAAGAAUGUUCCGCCUUGAAGCAAUUUUUGUUUCAGCCUUGAUCAUUCUGCUGUGUCUAGCACCAUCUGAGAAAACGGAACCCACAGAAUGUUACUAUUGCGACGGUAAAUGCACGGAUCCUAUUAAAACACAAAAAUGCGGAUCUUCUUAUCAUAAUAAUCCCAACAGAACAUACCUGUGUGUGACUAAAAACCGCAUAUCUUCCGUCAAGGGUCUAGUAGUCGAAAAAGGAUGCUUUUAUAUGGGUAGUUUUUUCAUGAACGCGUGCUUUAACGAUUCAGACAUGGUAUGCGUUCGCUGUGACACAGACCUUUGUAACACCGGACAAUUUCUGUAUUACACGGGACCGAAUUCUACUGGCACCAGUGUGCCACGAACAUCUUUAGAUUAUUAUACAUCGUCCUUCUUAUUGUCCAUUACAUUUCUUCUUGUGAUUUUACAAUAAAAUUUACAAUAACAAA